AUUGAACGCUGGCGGCAGGCCUAACACAUGCAAGUCGAGCGGAUGAAGGGAGCUUGCUCCUGGAUUCAGCGGCGGACGGGUAAGUAAUGCCUAGGAAUCUGCCUGGUAGUGGGGGAUAACGUCCGGAAACGGGCGCUAAUACCGCAUACGUCCUGAGGGAGAAAGUGGGGGAUCUUCGGACCUCACGCUAUCAGAUGAGCCUAGGUCGGAUUAGCUAGUUGGUGGGGUAAAGGCCUACCAAGGCGACGAUCCGUAACUGGUCUGAGAGGAUGAUCAGUCACACUGGAACUGAGACACGGUCCAGACUCCCACGGGAGGCAGCAGUGGGGAAUAUUGGACAAUGGGCGAAAGCCUGAUCCAGCCAUGCCGCGUGUGUGAAGAAGGUCUUCGGAUUGUAAAGCACUUUAAGUUGGGAGGAAGGGCAGUAAGUUAAUACCUUGCUGUUUUGACGUUACCAACAGAAUAAGCACCGGCUAACUUCGUG
rnacentral:rRNA from 1 species